rnacentral:lncRNA from 1 species
UUGUAGUUGAAAGACACCUUUUUGUUGACCCCUUUCAUUCUGCAAUUCACUGUUAUUUGCAGCCAUGUUCUCAAUUAGCUCAUGGGCUUCUUCUAAUGUCUUCCAUCGGAUGUUUCCUCCAGCUGAGGCAUCCAACAUCAACUUUGUUUGGGAUCUCAAUCCUCCCAAGAACGUGUUCAGGAUUGUAGGCUCAUCAAAU